UCUUGUAUUACAUUUGUUGCCUAUUGGAGUUUUUGACUGUAUUUGAAGUAUCUUUAGGUUAUUUCCUCUCUUAUUUAUUUGAGCUUUCACUUCUUAGUUAUCUUGGCAAUGUGGAUGCUAGUUGCCAGGGAUCUGGGCACUGGUAUUGUCUUUUCUGGCUGUGUGCUUUCAGAGUAUGUUGUACCAGAUCAAUGGCUGCCUCUCGCAAGUGUCAUGGAAGUUGAUGGACAGAAGUGUUUUGUAAGUGGCACUUUCUAUUAACUCGUUGGGCAUCUCAAUUCAUCUUCUUCCAUUUUCCUUUCUUUUCCUUCUUGGCUCAUGUCAGGUUUCAUGUUCUGACUGAGGGUGUUUCUUGUUACUUCCUCUUUUUUCAGUCAAAAACAAUAAAAGACAAAGGGUAUUUCUUAUCUUUGUUGAUGCAGAUCAAUCAAAAUACAUUCCUCAGUUUCUAUGGCAGGCAGAAUUUAUUAUCCUUGUUUUGGUCGAAUUUCACAGAUCUUUUCAUUGGAGGAAGCUUUUGCUACUGGAUGCUGCUAUUAUUUGUCAUGUCAAUGAUUUGGUGGUCUAAAUGAUUUUGGUGAUUUAUGUUGUUUUUUGAUCAAUGAACAGAUCUGUCUCCUUAUGCACACCUUGGGCUGUAAUGAAAAGAACACUAUUAGAAAUGUCAUUUUUCUGGAAAUUCUAGAUUUGGAUACUUGCAAAGAGCUUCAUUGUCUUCCCCUAUAGUCAGGGUUUUCCUUUCUUUAAAUUUUUCGAAGUUAAAUUUAUCUGAAGUUAUCAGCCACUGAGAUUUCAUAAUCAGUUUCAUUAUUUUCAUCAUGUACUAUGGUUAAUACGUCCAUGUUUUAUUGCUAAGUGAUCCUCUUCAAUCAGUGCCCUGACUCAAUCAGCAAAUUUCUGCAGCGACAAUAUCAACUUAAGCAGUUUUAUUUAUGAAUGGGUUGGCUCAAGACAUAAUUCUCAUGAAGGGGCUUUUACCUUAAAGUUUCUCAUACAUAUUUUGUUAAAUGACAUUUAUUUAGUAAUCUUCUUGCCAAAAGUUUUUGUUGUUUCUUGUUUCUUUGCAGCCUCUUGCGAUCUUGUAAUAGUGAAGGCACUGUUUGGGGGGUUCUUCCAAUUUGACUUCUGUAGAAUCCACAAAUUCCUUUUUCUUAGCCAUCUGAAUAGGGUAGAUUAUGAAGAACUCGGACCUGGUUAAAUUUCAACGGAUUUCUUUCAUAACUGAGGCUGACUUUUGCAUUUCAGUUAGUUCAGAAAAUCCUGAGGGGUUACAAGUUCCUUUAUGUUAAUUAGCCAUCUGAAUAGGUAUCUUGGAUGUUAGUUUGGGUAGAUUGUAAACGAGGAAUUCGUAACUGAGGUGAUCUUGUUCUGAUUUUCCCCCCCAAUCAAAGUUUUUUGCUCUCAGAAUAUCCCUUUUGUUCAUGCUAUUAAAUAUAAUGUAGUUUGUGGAAGAAUUCUGGCACACAGUAUUUGCUUUUUCUGAUAGGUAGGAGCCAGGAUGUUGCUACAAAAAUGUUUAUUUGGUGUUUUUCGUUCUGAGGUUGGUUAUUGGUGUUAUGAUCAUUUCAUUAUUCUGUUAUUUUAUUAUUGUACCUGCACACAUAAACAGUCGCUGCCUUGCCAUGACAUUGAAGGCUGCGAACUGUUAAAAGAUUAGAUUUUUAGGUUCUAAGUUUCAUCUGUUGUUUGAUCUUUUCUUGGAAGCAUGCUUCUGAAAAAAUUACAUAUUUGCAUCAAAAUAAUUUCUUCUCAGUUAUGGUCAAUAUCCUGUUUGCCGAAGUCGGAGACCUUUGAUCUUGAACUUUUUGAACUAAGAGUUGUGCGAGAAGUUUGCACUCUCCUUAUCCCCAGGGGCUGACUGGGCUGUAACUCCUUUUGCUUUGGCAGAAAUCGCUCUGUCGGAUCGAUAGAUCAAAAUUCAUUCAACAAAGUGGAAAGACACCAAGAGCUGUGGAUUGACCGUUCUGAUAGGCGAAAAGUCCCCUUCAAAGGAAAGUUCGGUACUGUAUGCAAAAAAGAGGCCUCGUCAAUAUGAAGCUGUUAAAGCACUGAUCACCUUCCCUAUUGCAAAGAAAGUGUGCAAAAGCUCUUUCCGGCCAGGCUACUUGAUUUUUCCUGUGAUUUAAUCUUUAAUGAUAGCUGCAGGAAUUAGAGCAUUGUGUGAUCAUGAUGUUUGGAGCUUAACUUCUGCCGGUUUAGACUUGAGAGUAUCAUUUUAUUAAUUUCUCUUGCUCUCUCUUUGUUAAUUCUUAGUUAAUUUUCCCUUGUCUGUGUGACUAAAAUGUAAACUUCCUGGCUGAUAAUUAUAUGUAUAGGAACAUAAGGUGAUUGACAGUUAGAUUUCGAAUUUGAUAUGGUUUGAAGAGAUGUUAUCAGCAAUUCGGUUGUUUUCUUGGCUUCAAUAUUGAUAUGGAUCAAGGAGG
rnacentral:lncRNA from 1 species